UUAGUUAGUUGGCGGAGUAACAGCCCACCAAGACGAUGAUCAGUAGCUGGUCUGAGAGGACGAACAGCCACACUGGAACUGAGACACGGUCCAGACUCCUACGGGAGGCAGCAGUGAGGAAUUUUGCUCAAUGGGCGCAAGCCUGAAGCAGCGACGCCGCGUGAAUGAUGAAGUCUUUCGGGAUGUAAAGUUCUGUCGACAGGGACAAUAAUGAUGGUACCUGUAGAGGAAGCACCGGCAAACUAUGUGCCAGCAGCCGCGGUAAUACAUAGGGUGCAAGCGUUAUCCGGAUUUACUGGGCGUAAAGCGUAUGUAGGUGGUAUUAUAAGUCAAACUUCAAAUCCCGGGGCUCAACCUCGGUUCGGGUUUGAUACUGUAGUACUUGAGUUUGGGAGAGGAAAGCGGAACUAACAGUGUAGCGGUGAAAUGCGUAGAUAUUGUUAGGAACACCCGUGGCGAAGGCGGCUUUCUGGACCAACACUGACACUGAGAUACGAAAGCGUGGGGAGCAAACAGGAUUAGAUACCCUGGUAGUCCACGCUGUAAACAAUGUACAUUAGGUAUAGGGGGUAUCGACUCCCUCUGUGCCGAAGCUAACGCGUUAAAUGUACCGCCUGGGGAGUACGGUCGCAAGAUUAAAACUCAAAGGAAUUGACGGGGGCCCGCACAAGCAGUGGAUCAUGUGGUUUAAUUCGACGAUACCCGAAAAACCUCACCAGAACUUGACAUCUAGGGAAUCCCAUAGAAGUAUGGGAGUGCUCGCAAGAGAGCCCUAAGACAGGUGGUGCAUGGUUGUCGUCAGCUCGUGUCGUGAGAUGUUAGGUUAAGUCCUGCAACGAGCGCAACCCUCGUAUUGUGUUGCUACAUUUAGUUGAGCACUCUCAAUAGACUGCCCGUGGUAAACGGGAGGAAGGUGAGGAUGACGUCAAAUCAUCAUGCCCUUUACGUUCUGGGCUACACACAUGAUACAAUGACAAGUACAAAGGGAUGCCAAACCGCAAGGUGGAGCAAAUCUCAUAAAACUUGCCUCAGUUCAGAUCGCAGGCUGCAACUCGCCUGCGUGAAGAUGGA
rnacentral:rRNA from 1 species